AGAGUUUGAUCAUGGCUCAGAACGAACGCUGGCGGCNNGAUAAGACAUGCAAGUCGAGCGCUGAUUAUGAGGUAGCAAUAUUUCGUAGUCGGAGCGGCGCAAGGGUGCGUAACACGUGGGUAAUCUGCCAUGAAGUUUGGGAUAACUCGCUGAAAGGCGAGCUAAUACCGGAUGUGAAAAUUGGAAGGCAUCUUCCGAUUUUCAAAGCUGGGGACCGUAAGCCUGGCGCUUCUUGAUGAGCCCGCGGCCUAUCAGCUAGUUGGUGAGGUAACGGCUCACCAAGGCUAAGACGGGUAGCUGGUCUGAGAGGACGACCAGCCACACUGGAACUGAGACACGGUCCAGACACCUACGGGUGGCAGCAGUCGAGAAUUUUUCACAAUGGGCGCAAGCCUGAUGGAGCGACGCCGCGUGGGGGAUGAAUGGCUUCGGCCCGUAAACCCCUGUCAUUUGCGAUCAACCCUCAUUAUUUAAAAGAUGAUGAGCUGAUAGUAGCGAAAGAGGAAGGGACGGCUAACUCUGUGCCAGCAGCCGCGGUAAUACAGAGGUCCCAAGCGUUGUUCGGAUUCACUGGGCGUAAAGGGUGCGUAGGUGGUGGGGUAAGUCGGAUGUGAAAUCUCCGAGCUCAACUCGGAAAUGGCAUUGGAAACUACCCUGCUGGAGGGUCGGAGGGGGGACUGGAAUUCUCGGUGUAGCAGUGAAAUGCGUAGAUAUCGAGAGGAACACCAGUGGCGAAGGCGAGUCCCUGGACGACUCCUGACACUGAGGCACGAAAGCUAGGGGACAAACAGGAUUAGAUACCCUAGUAGUCC
rnacentral:rRNA from 1 species